rnacentral:rRNA from 1 species
AUUGAACGCUGGCGGCAUGCCUUACACAUGCAAGUCGAACGGCAGCACGGGUGCUUGCACCUGGUGGCGAGUGGCGAACGGGUGAGUAAUACAUCGGAACGUACCUUAUCGUGGGGGAUAACGCAGCGAAAGUUGCGCUAAUACCGCAUACGCCCUGAGGGGGAAAGCGGGGGACCGUAAGGCCUCGCGCGAUUAGAGCGGCCGAUGUCUGAUUAGCUUGUUGGUGAGGUAAAAGCUCACCAAGGCGAUGAUCAGUAGCUGGUCUGAGAGGACGAUCAGCCACACUGGGACUGAGACACGGCCCAGACUCCUACGGGAGGCAGCAGCGGGGAAUUUUGGACAAUGGGGGCAACCCUGAUCCAGCAAUGCCGCGUGAGUGAAGAAGGCCUUCGGGUUGUAAAGCUCUUUUGUCAGGGAAGAAACAGCAGCUCUACCACAGUCUGCGAAUGACGGUACCUGAAGAAUAAGCACCGGCUAACUACGUGCCAGCCGCCGCAGUAA